AUUCUAACUACUGUGCCACCAUGGCUGAUCCAUUUCUUUUCUCAGUUAAAUUGUUUUGCAAAACUUUUUUUCCCUAUGCAUCAGUUUUCACCAAAAGGAAUCUAUUUAUAAUCUGUAUAGGAUCUCACCAACUUGCAAAGGAAAAGUUACAUUAAGAGUGGACUGCUUCCUAUUUAAUGGCUUCACACAGGUAAAUGAUACAGUUUGUAUACAUAACAAUGAGAAAGACAGAAGGACAAAAAUUAUUAAACCAAAGAAGGCAAGUAAAAAGCAUUUGGACAAACACACCAAAAGCCACCCAAGACAAACUUUCUGUUAUUGUAGAAAUAGAAUAUACAUUUCUAUACAACAAUCUGUAUCCAAACUUUAUAACACUGGAAUAUCCCCGAAUCUUAAACUUGAACAAGGGAAGCAGUUUUGCUCACAGGCUUAAUGCAAUGGUGGGUUGUGUUGAAGAAAGCUGAGUGAAAUCUACAAUACUAAAAUACAACAUAGCAAUAUAAUACACUCAAAUAUCAUACCAGUUUUUAAUGCUGCCAGCGCAUUGAUUAAAAGAAUAUAAGAAUCCCCUUCCCUUUUACAAACCACGUCCUUCAUUAAAAAUGCCUUCAUAAUUUUAAGAUCAGUGUACCAACAAAAGUAAUUCAAUGCAGAACCCUUCAUUUUUCAUUAAUCGUAUCCAUUACAAACCACAGCAGCAUAAUAGAACAAAACCAGAGCCAUAUACAUAUACAUAGAUAUGUCUACAGCAACAUAUGCAUGAGUGUGUAUGUAUUUCACUGCAUAAAAAAUCUGCAGCUGAGAGUUUCAGUAGAUCUUUGUAUUUUUUUAGUCAAAAGACAUAGAGCAAAUAUGAUUAUUCUAACUACAGGAGUUCUUCAGGCUUUUGAAAACUAUUUGCACAAGAAUAUAAACCACAGAACAAACAGGAAUGAUAAUGAACCUGAGUAAACUCUAUUCAAAUAGAGGCAAUCAUUCAUUCAAUAAAUCAAUAUUGCACUUUUAAAUAAAUCUUCAUCACAGAAAAGAACACAAAAUACAACCAGGACAGGAGGGGUACCCACCCCACCAAUGCCACACACCGUUACAACAAUUGUAUGCAAACCACAGUUAAAGCUACAUAGCUUUUCUCCUCCCCUAAGGAUGCCACUUGUGGUCAGUCCUCAAGAUCAACUGAAGUGACAGCUUUCAAGUGAUAAUCUUAUAACUUAGAUAAGCCGGUUCGCUCUGAAAUGGGCCCUGAAAAUGACCAAUGUUGUUUUAUUUUGCAUGUGGUGAACCAAUCAUUACUAUUCUUCUAUAAGUAUCUGGAAACCUGAGAACGCAUGGAGGGUGUAUGUGCGAUCGACUUAAUGGGAAAUCACACAUGAGUUUAUUGCUACAGUAUUCAGUUUGCAACACAAUAACAAGUUUUAAAGUAGCUAGUUAGUUAGGUUUAAUUUGGGCUCUGAUUCAGAAAAAGGCAAAUCCAAUCCUUGGUUUGACUUUGAGAUCUGAAUAUGAAACUUAUUUAUGCAAAUUUCAAUGUC